rnacentral:rRNA from 1 species
AGAUUGAACGCUUGGCGGCAUGCCUAACACAUGCAAGUCGAGGCGGCAGCGCGGGGGCAACCCUGGCGGCGAGCGGCGGACGGGUGAGUAAGGCAUCGGAAUCUGCCCUGAUGUGGGGGAUAACGUAGGGAAACUUACGCUAAUACCGCAUACGACCGGAGAGGUGAAAGCGGGGGACCGAAAGGCCUCGCGCAGCAGGAUGAGCCGAAGCCGGAUUAGCUAGUUGGUAGGGUAAUGGCCUACCAAGGCGACGAUCCGUAGCUGGUCGUGAGAGGACGACCAGCCACACUGGGACUGAGACACGGCCCAGACUCCGUACGGGAGGCAGCCUGAGC